rnacentral:tRNA from 1 species
GGAGGGGUGACGGAGCGGUUUAUCGUGGCGGUCUUGAAAACCGUUGCGGGACUUAGCGCCCGCCGUGGGUUCGAAUCCCACCCCCUCCGCCA